rnacentral:rRNA from 1 species
GUUGAACGCUGGCGGAAUGCUUUACACAUGCAAGUCGAACGGCAGCACGGACUUCGGUCUGGUGGCGAGUGGCGAACGGGUGAGUAAUGUAUCGGAACGUGCCCAGUCGUGGGGGAUAACGUAGUGAAAAUUACGCUAAUACCGCAUACGAUCUAUGGAUGAAAGCGGGGGAUCGCAAGACCUCGCGCGAUUGGAGCGGCAGAUAUCAGAUUAGGUAGUUGGUGGGGUAAAGGCCCACCAAGCCAACGAUCUGUAGCUGGUCUGAGAGGACGACCAGCCCAACUGGAAAUGAGACACGUUCCAGACUCCUAGGGGAGGCAGCAGUGGGGAAUAUUGAAUAAUGGGCGAAAGCCUGAUCCAGCCAUUCCGCGUUCAGGAUGAAGGCCCUCGGGUUGUAAAAUGCUUUUGUACAGAAAUAAAAGGUUUCUACUAAGACUACGAGCUCAUGACGGUACUGUAAGAAUAAGCACCGGCUAACUACGUGCCAGCCGCCGCCGUAA